rnacentral:rRNA from 1 species
GACGAACGCUGGCGGCGUGCUUAACACAUGCAAGUCGAACGGAAAGGCCCUGCUUUUGUGGGGUGCUCGAGUGGCGAACGGGUGAGUAACACGUGAGUAACCUGCCCUUGACUUUGGGAUAACUUCAGGAAACUGGGGCUAAUACCGGAUAGGAGCUCCUGCUGCAUGGUGGGGGUUGGAAAGUUUCGGCGGUUGGGGAUGGACUCGCGGCUUAUCAGCUUGUUGGUGGGGUAGUGGCUUACCAAGGCUUUGACGGGUAGCCGGCCUGAGAGGGUGACCGGCGACAUUGGGACUGAGAUACGGCGCAGACUCCUACGGGAGGCAGCAGUGGGGAAUAUUGCACAAUGGGCGGAAGCCUGAUGCAGCAACGCCGCGUGCGGGAUGACGGCCUUCGGGUUGUAAACCGCUUUCGCCUGUGACGAAGCGUGAGUGACGGUAAUGGGUAAAGAAGCACCGGCUAACUACGUG